AAGAUAAAAUAAACAGACUUCUAAUCUGUGUAAAAGUGUAUACUUUUAUCUUU
rnacentral:tRNA from 1 species